AUGGCUUUGUGUUUGGACCUGCCCUAGGUAUUUGAGGUAGGGGUCUGACCUGUGUACUGCUCAUAACUGGGCCUGUCAUUUGUUUUCUCUGGUUCUGUACCUGUGAUUGGUUUCAAAGAUAGAGCUGGUAAGUUUCUGUUC